AUACGGAGGGUCCAAGCGUUAUCCGGAAUCAUUGGGUUUAAAGGGUCCGCAGGCGGUCAAUUAAGUCAGAGGUGAAAGCCCAUCGCUCAACGAUGGAACUGCCUUUGAUACUGGUUGACUUGAGUUAUACGGAAGUAGAUAGAAUAAGUAGUGUAGCGGUGAAAUGCAUAGAUAUUACUUAGAAUACCGAUUGCGAAGGCAGUCUACUACGUAUAUACUGACGCUGAGGGACGAAAGCGUGGGGAGCGAACAGGAUUAGAAACCCUUGUAGUCC
rnacentral:rRNA from 1 species